rnacentral:rRNA from 1 species
UAAAGCCAGCACCUCAAGUGGUCAGGAGGAUUAUUGGGCCUAAAGCAUCCGUAGCCUGCUCUGUAAGUUUUCGGUUAAAUCUAUAUGCUCAACGUAUAGGCUGCCGAAAAUACUGCAGUGCUAGGAAGUGGGAGAGGUAGACGGUACUUGAUAGGAAGGGGUAAAAUCCUUUGAUCUAUCGAUGACCACCUGUGGCGAAGGCGGUCUACCAGAACACGUUCGACGGUGAGGGAUGAAAGCUGGGGGAGCAAACCGGAUUAGAUACCCGGGUAGUCCCAGCUGUAAACGAUGCAGACUCGAUGAUGCAUUGGCAUAUAGCCAGUGCAGUGUCGCAGGGAAGCCGUUAAGUCUGCCGCCUGGGAAGUACGUACGCAAGUAUG